CCUACGGGUGGCUGCAGUAACGAAUCUUCCGCAAUGCACGAAAGUGUGACGGAGCGACGCCGCGUGGAGGACGAAGUCCCUCGGGAUGUAAACUCCUGUCAGGGGCCACCGGGGCCCCAGAGGAAGGCACGGCUAACUCUGUGCCAGCAGCCGCGGUAAGACAGAGGUGCCGAGCGUUAGGCGGAAUCACUGGGCUUAAAGCGUGUGUAGGCGGACCGUUAAGUGUCUUGUGAAAUCCCACGGCUCAACCGUGGAACGGCUGGGCAUACUGGCGGUCUUGAGAGACCUAGGGGCGAGCGGAACAGGCGGUGGAGCGGUGAAAUGCGUAGAUAUCGCCUGGAACGCCGACGGUGAAAACAGCUCGCUGGGGUCUCUGACGCUGAGACACGAAAGCCAGGGGAGCGAACGGGAUUAGAUACCCUUGUAGUC
rnacentral:rRNA from 1 species